GGAGGUAUAGCUCAGUGGUAGAGUGCAUGCUUAUCGUGCACGAGGUCCUAGGUUCAAUCCCCAGUACCUCCU
rnacentral:tRNA from 1 species